CAUCCAUACAGCUUGCCAUUGAACAAGUAUUGGCUCAUUACUUUCAACAAGUGUUCUUCUGCUACUUACGAGGUUACACCCAAAGACAUUAUGCAUGGCUUACCUUCAAGAUUCCAAGGAAAGUUCUUAACUGACAUCUUAGGAAUAAGCUUUCACCUUUUGUUUUCCACCAAAUUGUCGAAUUCAUAUCAGAUUAGUUUGCCUGGAAACAAGAAGAGAUGUUAACUAACUGCUUAUGAAAGAUAAAUAAUUUGACGCGGUGAUGAACAAAAAACCAACCUUUCUAGAGUAAGGAGAAACAUUAGAUAGUCACUUCAGUUUAUUUUGGAAGGUCUCGUAUCCUUCCCACCGCUGCCGCUGCUGUUAUUUAUUCAUUUUAGUUUCCAAUCUCAAGAGAUUUUAUAGCAAAUCUUAAUUUGCUCUGUCAAAUGUAUUGUGCCAAUUUUACAAGAAGUCCCCUAAUCACUACAAAAAUCUCAUUCAUUCUGUGGAUGGGAUCCAAUUUAAGAAUUCAACACAACAAAUUCCAUAUUUUGCAACUUCAUAACAGUCUGCCUUCUGGCUAGGUGCACAGCCUUGAUUAUUUCUUUCUUCCAACAUUCAUAAAUGAACAAAAAACUGUGGCCGAACACUUCGAACUGAAAUUGCACUACUUCUAAAUGUUUCCUUUGAUUCAUGCUUCUUGGAACAGGUGGGCGCUCUGCUUUAUGUUCGAGUUGUGAAGGCAAGUCCUGGAAAAUAAUGCUGAGCUCACCAACAUGUCCAGUUCUUGAGGCACUUGGCAAGAAGCUCUCCUUUGAGAUAGCAGUUGGCUUAAAUGGCCGUGUUUGGGUGAAAGCUGAUUCUCCAUCAACAGUUAUUAUUGUGUCAAUGCAAUUAUCAUGUCGGAGUCUUUGAGUGGGGCACAGCAGAAAAUUAUAGCAGAGAAAUUACUUCAGAAAAUUCAGUAACUGCAGAAGACUGCAAACGUUGUUUCUUGGAUCCACCAUGGUCAUUAAUUGGAAGGGGCAGGGUCAUGUACGCAGAAGUUUGAAGACACCGACUGUCACCAGCUCAUAGUUUUGGAGGACUAUAAUGGCAAUUACUUCUUGAAUGUACAUUACAGCUACUUUUGAAGCCUUAUUUUCCCAUUUACUUUGGGUUUAGAAGAUGAUUAAGCUGAAGAUUCUAAUUGAAUCUCUCCAAGUGCUUCUAUCAGCCAGCAUUUGUAAUUGUGGAUAUGCUGAGGCAUUGAAUCUUAUUGAAACUGGUUAAUUAUUUUGAGCCGGUAAUGUGUAAGUAAUUUGUCAAGAAUCAUGAACA